GACACUCUUUUCAUGUGUUUAGGCUUCUUAGGUUUAGCUGGAUGAUCAGCUUUUGCCUCCUGCUUAGUCUCUGACUUGGUCUCCGGCUUGGUCUCUGGUUUGGUCUCUGGUUUGGGCUCAGGUUUGGGCUCAGGUAUUGUCUCCUCUUGCACUUCAGGCUUGCUUUCAGGUCGAAUCUCUCUGUCCUUGGUCUCGAUGUUAGUUCCUGACUUUGGCAUUGUGACCUGUUCAGGAGGUUUAUUCUGGACAUCAUCAGAUAACGGAGAUCGAAGCUCUCCUGAAACAGGUUCACUUGCAAUAUCUCC
rnacentral:lncRNA from 1 species